CCUACGGGAGGCAGCAGUGGGGAAUAUUGUGCAAUGGGCGAAAGCCUGACGCAGCGACGCCGCGUGAGGGAUGAAGGUCUUCGGAUCGUAAACCUCUGUCAGCAGGGAAGAACGGUCACUGUGCUAAUCAGCAGUGAAUUGACGGUACCUGCAAAGGAAGCACCGGCUAACUCCGUGCCAGCAGCCGCGGUAAUACGGAGGGUGCGAGCGUUAAUCGGAAUUACUGGGCGUAAAGCGCUCGUAGGCGGUAUGUCAAGUCAAGUGUGAAAUCCCCGCGCUCAACGUGGGAACUGCCUUUGAAACUGGCAGACUGGAGUGUGUGAGAGGAUAGUGGAAUUCCAGGUGUAGGAGUGAAAUCCGUAGAUAUCUGGAGGAACAUCAGUGGCGAAGGCGACUAUCUGGCACAUAACUGACGCUGAGGAGCGAAAGCGUGGGUAGCAAACAGGAUUAGAUACCCGGGUAGUC
rnacentral:rRNA from 1 species